UUGAGUUCAGUUCAUUCAAUACUGUUCAUUAAAUUCUAUCCAUUAAAUUCAGUUCACUUCAUUUCAUAAAUUAACUGUUAUACGCCUUAUCUAGUUCAUGUCCUAAGUUAAGUUCAUACAGAUUAAUUGAUACUGAAUUAUUGACAAGAAAUGUUCACACAGAAGUAAUAAGGCAUGAAGUUGAUAUUUCAUUAAAUAUUAAUUGUUCACAUAAAGUUAGAAUUUUCACAGAAAAUUCUACAGCUAAAGAUAAGGAGAGGUCAUCUUCAGGCUUCUUCCUUGUCAUCG
rnacentral:lncRNA from 1 species